rnacentral:rRNA from 1 species
CCUACGGGUGGCAGCAGUGGGGAAUAUUGCACAAUGGGGGAAACCCUGAUGCAGCGACGCCGCGUGAGUGAAGCAGUAAUUCGUUAUGUAACGCUCUAUCAGCAGGGAAGAAAAUGACGGUACCUGAGUAAGAAGCCCCGGCUAACUACGUGCCAGCAGCCGCGGUCAUACGUAGGGGGCAAGCGUUAUCCGGAUUUACUGGGUGUAAAGGGAGCGUAGACGGCAGUGCAAGUCUGGAGUGAAAGGCGGGGGCUCAACCCCCGGACUGCUCUGGAAACUGUCCGGAUGGAGUGCAGGAGAGGUAAGUGGAAUUCCUAGUGUAGCGGUGAAAUGCGGAGAUAUUAGGAGGAACACCAGUGGCGAAGGCGGCUUACUGGACUGUAACUGACGUUGAGGCUCGAAAGCGUGGGGAGCAAACAGGAUUAGAUACCCCAGUAGUC